rnacentral:tRNA from 1 species
GCAGGCCUAGAUGAAUGGUUACGCUGUCCGCUUUGUAAGCGGUAAUCAUGGAUUCGAUUCCCAUCUGCU